rnacentral:lncRNA from 1 species
AUAUCUUUCCCUUAAUACCGAAGAGUUUGGCAAGUCUAGCUUAUCUCAUCAAUUUUGAUGUUUCACACAAAAAUUUGUCUAGAGAAGUGUCUAAGGCAAGUCUAGCUUAUCUCAUCAAUUUUGAUGUUUCACACAACAAUUUGUCUAGAGAAGUGUCUAAGUUGUUGCUCAAGCAAGAGUGAACGUGGAUGAUAAUCCUAGACUCAUUAGGACUGCUCCAACACCACCACAAGCACAACCAUCUCCACAUUUACCUCCGCACACCAUUGUUGAUGAGAGUUCGCCAUUGCCCACAAUCGUAAUUAUAGGCCUUAUGAUGAGAUGUAUUUUGUGUGUGGCUGCCUCAUUUGGUGUGGUCUACUUCACGUUAAAAAGGAAGCUAGAGAACUCCAAUGGUCCAAUAAUUAGAUUUGGUGGUGGAGGAGCUAUCCAAUAUUCUCUGUAAGUGUUGACCGACGUAAUUGAUACUUUCAACUCCGAUAAUCUGUUAGGGACAUGUGACUUGUCUUCAGUAUUUAAAGGCAGAUUGGAGGAUGGAAGUACAAUGUUUGUGAAGAAGGUGCAGAAGAAUAAACAUGGUAUGUUGGACGCCGCUAGGGCUUUGAAAGCCUUUAAAUAUGUGAUUGUAGUGUUCAAUGAAACGAAACAUACAAUUGUGGUUGCGCUACUUGGAUAUUACGAAGAUGAUGAGCAACAUCUCAUGCUUGUAUAUGAGUAUAUGUCUCAAGGGACACUUGCUGAUCAUUUAUUUAAAAAGACAAAUGAAGGCGGCCAACUUUUCGAUUAGGGCAGGAGGCUUAAGUUUACACAAGAUAUUGCAAGAGCGGUUAAACACAUCCACACAUUCGCUAUUCACAAAGUUGUACAUAGAGACUUGAAGCCCACCAAUAUUUUGCUUGGUGAUGAUUUAUUGCCAAAGUUGCCAACUUUGGUUUUGUUCAUAUCUUUCCCUUAAUACCGAAGAGCUUGGCAAGUCUAGCUUAUCUCAUCAAUUUUGAUGUUUUACACAACAAUUUGUCUGGAGAAGUGCCUAAGUUUGCUGCUUAAAUAAGGUGAACGUGGAUGAUAAUCCUAGACUCAUUAGGAUUGCUCCAACAACACCACAAGCACAACCAUCUCCACAUUUACCUCUGCACACCGUUGUUGAUGAGACUUCGUCAUUGUCCACAAUUGUAAUUAUUGGGAUUAUAUUGAGAUGUAUUUUGUGUGUGGCUGCCUCAUUUGGUGUGGUUUACUUCGUGUUAAAAAAUAAGCUAGAGAACUCCAUUGGUCCAGUAAUUAGAUUUGGUGGUGGAGGAGCUAUCCAAUAUUCUCUGCAAGUGUUGACCGACGUAAUUGAUAAUUUCAACUCUGAUAAUCUGUUAGGGAUAUGUGGCUUGUCUUCAGUAUUUAAAGGCAGAUUGGAGGAUGAGAGUACAAUGUUUGUAAAAAAGUUGUAAAAGAACAAACAUGGUAAAUUGGACGCCGCUAGGGCUUUGAAAGCCUUUAAAUAUGUGAUUGUAGUGCUCAAUGAAAUGAAACAUACAAAUGUGGUUGCGCUACUUUGAUAUUACGAAGAUGAUAAGCUGACCACAUGCUUGUAUAUGAGUAUAUGUUUCAAGGGACACUUGCUGAUCAUUUAUUUAAAUGGAGAGAUGAAGGAGACCGACUUUUCAAUUGGGGUAGGAGGCUUAAGAUUGCACAAGAUAUUGCAAUAUUACAAGAGCAGUUGAACACAUCCACACAUUCGCUAUUCACAAAGUUGUCCGUAGAGACUUGAAGCCCUCCAAUAUUUUGCUUGAAGAUGAUUUAUUGCCAAAGUUGCCAACUUUGGUUUUGUUCAUAUAUUUCCCUUAAUACCAAAGAGCUUGGCAAGUCUAGCUUAUCUCAUCAAUUUGGAUGUUUCACACAACAAUUUGUAUGAAGAAGUGCCUAAGUUUGCUGCUCAAGUAAGGUGAACGUGGAUGAUAAUCCUAGACUCAUUUGGACUGCUCUAACACCACCACAAGCACAAUCAUCUCCACAUUUACCUCCGCACACCGUUGUUGAUGAGAGUUCGCCAUUGCCCACAAUCGUAAUUAUUGGCCUUAUGUUGGGAUGAAUUUUGUGUGUGGCUGCCUCAUUUGGUGUGGUCUACUUCAUGUUUAAAAGGAAGCUAGAGAACUCCAAUGGUCCAGGAAUUAGAUUUGUUGGUGGAGGAGCUAUCUAAUAUUCUCUGCAAGUGUUGAUGGACGCAACUGAUAAUUUCAACUCUGAUAAUCUGUUAGGGACAUGUGACUUCUCUUCAGUAUUUAAAGGCAGAUUGGAGGAUUGGAGUACAAUGUCUGUGAAGAAGGUGCAGAAGAACAAACAUGGUAAGUUAGACGUCGCUAGGGCUUUGAAAGCCUGUAAAUAUGUGAUUGUAGUACUCAAUGAAACGAAACAUACAAUUGUGGUUGCGCUACUUAGAUAUUACGAAGAUGAUGAGCAACAC